rnacentral:rRNA from 1 species
CCUACGGGGGGCAGCAGUGGGGAAUAUUGGACAAUGGGGGGAACCCUGAUCCAGCCAUGCCGCGUGUGUGAAGAAGGCCCUCGGGUUGUAAAGCACUUUCAGUGGGGAAGAACGCCUGGUGGUUAAUACCCAUCAGGAAAGACAUCACUCACAGAAGAAGCACCGGCUAACUCCGUGCCAGCAGCCGCGGUAAUACGGAGGGUGCGAGCGUUAAUCGGAAUUACUGGGCGUAAAGCGCGCGUAGGUGGCUUGAUAAGCCGGUUGUGAAAGCCCCGGGCUCAACCUGGGAACGGCAUCCGGAACUGUCAAGCUAGAGUGCAGGAGAGGAAGGUAGAAUUCCCGGUGUAGCGGUGAAAUGCGUAGAGAUCGGGAGGAAUACCAGUGGCGAAGGCGGCCUUCUGGACUGACACUGACACUGAGGUGCGAAAGCGUGGGUAGCAAACAGGAUUAGAUACCCGUGUAGUC